rnacentral:rRNA from 1 species
GGUUACUGCUAUCGGUGUUCGUCUAAGCCAUGCGAGUCAUAUGUAGCAAUACAUGGCGUACUGCUCAGUAACACGUGGAUAACCUGCCCUUGGGUCCGGCAUAACCCCGGGAAACUGGGGAUAAUUCCGGAUAACGCACAUAUGCUGGAAUGCUUUAUGCGUGAAAUGGAUUCGUCUGCCCAAGGAUGGGUCUGCGGCCUAUCAGGUAGUAGUGGGUGUAAUGUACCUACUAGCCUACGACGGGUACGGGUUGUGAGAGCAAGAGCCCGGAGAUGGAUUCUGAGACAUGAAUCCAGGCCCUACGGGGCGCAGCAGGCGCGAAAACUUUACAAUGCGGGAAACCGUGAUAAGGGGACACCGAGUGCCAGCAUCAUAUGCUGGCUGUCCGGGUGUGUAAAAUACACCUGUUAGCAAGGGCCGGGCAAGACCGGUGCCAGCCGCCGCGGUAACACCGGCGGCCCGAGUAGUGAUCGUGAUUAUUGGGUCUAAAGGGUCCGUAGCCGGUUUGGUCAGUCCUCCGGGAAAUCUGACGGCUUAACCGUUAGGCUUUCGGGGGAUGCUGCCAGACUUGGAACCGGGAGAGGUAAGAGGUACUACAGGGGUAGGAGUGAAAUCUUGUAAUCCCUGUGGGACCACCUGUGGCGAAGGCGUCUUACCAGAACGGGUUCGACGGUGAGGGACGAAAGCUGGGGGCACGAACCGGAUUAGAUACCCGGGUAGUCCCAGCCGUAAACGAUGCUCGCUAGGUGUCAGGCAUGGCGCGACCGUGUCUGGUGCCGCAGGGAAGCCGUGAAGCGAGCCACCUGGGAAGUACGGCCGCAAGGCUGAAACUUAA